rnacentral:rRNA from 1 species
UACGUAGGGUGCGAGCGUUUAAUCGGAAUUACUGGGCGUAAAGCGUGCGCAGGCGGUUUUGUAAGUCUGAUGUGAAAGCCCUGGGCUCAACCUGGGAAUGGCAUUGGAUACUGGCGGACUGGAGUGCGGUAGAGGAUGGCGGAAUUCCCGGUGUAGCAGUGAAAUGCGUAGAGAUCGGGAGGAACAUCCGUGGCGAAGGCGGCCAUCUGGACCAGCACUGACACUGAGGCACGAAAGCGUGGGGAGCAAACAGGG